rnacentral:ncRNA from 1 species
UGAGAUAGAGGCGCGAAGCCGAUCAGUACCCCGGGCGAUUGCUGAAUUCACAGCCCGGGCGAAAGGCGGCUUUGCCGAAGGAAUUCGGGCGGUUCAGCGCACGGACUUCUGGGGCGGAUGCAAAAAAUGCACCGCACUGUCACGUCAGUGGAGCGCUAUCGGUU